GUGCAGUGGGAAGGGUCUGAGCAAGACCUUGUCCAGGUAAUGCAGUGCUCUGUGAAUGUUUUCCCAUGUUUCAAUCUGAGCUUUAAGAAUUGGUUUCAGUAGUUUAUAAGCCACUUGUUUGACUGCCAGAGCUUUGUACUGUGAGUGCUAAGACAGAUGCUUAAUUUCACAUGAUGGUGAGUUUUGCCCAAGCAAUUGCUAGGCUGGGUGCUGUAUGGGAAUACAUUCUGGCAGUGUGGGGGUAUAGAUAUUUUAGAUUGGAUACUAGAUACAACAUGAUUGUGCUUUUUACCUUCAGCUGCCUGAUAGACCAUCCUGUGGCUGCAUAGUCUACUAGCUCCUGAAUGUAUCCUGGUAACGUAAUGUUCAAUGUCUGGUGCUUGAACAACAUCAGUUAUGUUUGUAUGGCUUUGUGGCAUGUGGAUAGACACUAAGUCAAUGGUGAGACUUGGGUAGGAGAAAUAUUAUGCUUUUUCACCAUUGUGAUUCAGAAUCUUCUGCAUGUCAAGUAAUAGAUGGGAAUAUAAAAUAUUGAAUCUGCUCAUCUUUUAUGGCCUUGGCAAUAAUAAAAGAUCCCCUCUGUGUAAUGUUAGAGUGCUGAAAUAUAUAUUCAAUAUCUCCCAUAAAUUAGUUAGUGGGUUUUUGUAGAUGUUGAAUUCCAGUUUGAGAAAAGUAGAGGGGAAAAAAAGGAAUUACUUUUUGAACUUAAAAAUUUAUUCAUCCAAGUAAACGUUACAUCCACGUAUGCUUAUGUAACUCGGAUCAAUACUGUAACUUGUCUAUUUCUAAUAUCAGAAUGAUAGAGUGAACACUUUUGAAGAGUUGAAAUGCUAUUGAUUUACGCAGUCAGUACAAUUAAAAUAAAGUAAUUAGAACUCCUUAGGGGUCUGUUGGAGCUGUUUCGAAUGUGCUUCCUCUUGGGUAACAAGGAAUGAAAGAAUGACUGAUUAUGGAUGUGAUAGUCUGUGUACUCAUGCGUGCUGUUAAAAAUCAACUAAAACUUUUUGUUUUGAAACUGAAUGGUUGAAAAUGAUAAAAUGGUUGUAAGAGUUGCAUUAGAUUCCAGCAGAGAUGGAGUAGCAAAGCAAAUUAUUACCUGCUUUUAGAGAUGGGAAAAUUUAGUAUGGUUUAUGUUGAAUAUUGGUAGUGGCCAAGACUCGAAUGCAAGAUUGUGCAGCCCCUCAGCUUGUGCUGGGAACUGUAGCCUCAGAUUCUGCAUUUUCUUUUCCUUAUACUCCACAAUAAUACUGGGUGACCUAAGGGAAGCCACUUCCUAAAGCUGUUCAGAAAGAAAGUAAACACUGCAUAACAGCUGCAAUGAUACUGGUCUUGUGCUAGGGAAGAAAUGAAUCUACUUCAAUAAGAGUAUUUUAUGAAUUAAGAUCUUUCCAGAAUGAGUGCCUGAAAUGAGUUAUGAAAUUCUUUGUUACUCAAGAUUUUGGAACUAUGCAGUCUUCCCAUUCUGGGUGUUUCUUAAAUGAUUUCAUUGCAAGAGGAGCUCUUUCAGGAGAAUUUGUUCUUAGCAUUUGGAAAUUGUUUGAUCUUAAUUGGAAAUUUACCUCGAGAUAUGAGAUAAAAUAAGCUUACGAAUGAGAUGUCCUUGAAAAUAAAAUCAUUUGCACAGACGCUUGCAAACACGAUGCCCUUGCUUGCAAGUUGUGCAGAAGCUUGCAAAUUCCUUUCCACACGGUCUUUAUUAGGUGGAUUGGGAAGUCUGCAACCUCCAAGUUCUUCAGCUAGUUUUGAAAGGAGGAGGGACAAUGCGUCAGGAAGAAUAAAAAGGAGGCUGUGCUUUCUGAUGGUUUGAGGGAAAAGGUCCCCAGUUGGUUCUCCCUUUGUCUGAAUAAAGAAAGCUAAAGACUCUCCUCUGUUUCUUUUUGGGAUUGUAUGGGAACUGCUGAGUCACGGCCUGAACCGCUGAUUGACCAUCUGGAGACAAGAGCCGGUCAGCCCUGGGAGCACAGGUGAAGGCAAUUCAGCUGUGCGACUAGAAGGAGAGCCUGCCUGCACCUCUUUUGGACUUCAUUUAAGGGCUGACUGCCACUGUGGAAGGAUCUUUUGUUGGCGAUCCUUCCUUUGUGGAGUUUCUACUGCAGGCCUAGAACCUUGGAGACAGCAGGAGCUCGUCCUCCUGUCGCCUGAGUUACAUUCCGGAGGGCAGAGCUGGAAGUCAUAUCAGAAACGAAAUACAAAACGUGUUAUGGGACAUGGAGGAGAUCGUGGAGAGGGCACGGACGUGGCGCUGGGUCCUGGAUUCAGGAAUGAGAGAAGCUCGUCACCAAAAGAGAGCAAAUGCUGCCAGUUGACCUUUUCAGCCUUUGGAUUCUCAGUGCAUCUGACUCGACCAGACAGGUCUGGGGAAGAGAAAAAUUAACAGCAGAUGGAUUUAUGAAAAGAGCUCGGUGGCAGAUGGUGCCUACAGAUAUUUACUGACAUGUCCUCGGUCUUACAGGGUUCCAGCUUUGGGUACUGUACAUUGGAAAACGUCCUUUCAUGUGAGAGUGUCUUAUGAAGAACUUUGGUCCUGAUUUACAGAGUGAGCUGCUUCCUUGCUGAAAAAGCUGACUGGUGCCUGAUAGAAUUAAACGAAAGCACUAAACUAUUGUGAAAUGAGACCAGAUUAAAAGAAGUGAAGUGAGUGCAGCGAAGAUAAAUUGACUUGAAGUAAACCUUAUCACCGAAUCAUUCCUCUGGAGCUGAAUGUUAACAAAAGAAUGGGGUUUUUUUGGAGUCUCAGUGAGUG
ensembl:lncRNA